CCUGGACACUGUCACCUAAUGAUUAUAGUCUGUUAUAUCUGGUUAUUGAAUGGAAGAACCUUAAUGAUGAUGAUGGAAUGAAGUGGCUUAGAAUCCCUUCGAAUGUUAACAAGUAUUAUAUCCAUGAUAAUUUUAUUCCUAUCGAGAAAUAUCAGUUUAGUCUUUACCCAGUAUUUAUGGAAGGAGUUGGAAAACCAAAGAUAAUUAAUGGUUUCACCAAAGAUGAUAUCGCCAAACAGCAAAAUGAUGCAGGGCUGUAUGUCAUUGUACCGAUAAUUAUUUCCUCUUGUGUCCUGCUGCUCGGAACACUGUUAAUUUCACACCAGAGAAUGAAAAAGUUGUUUUGGGAUGAUGUUCCAAACCCCAAGAAUUGUUCCUGGGCACAAGGACUUAAUUUCCAAAAGCCUGGCUGUCUCACAUCUCCCCUAUUGGAGCUAAGUGUGGUGCUGUAUUUAGCAGGGUAUCUGGCAGAUAUUUUAAGUUAAUUGAAAUAUCACCCUAAAUUUCCAGAUUCUGGUAAACUGAAGUGCAAUUUCAA
rnacentral:lncRNA from 1 species